UACAGAGGGGUGCAAGCGUUAUCGGAAUUACUGGGCGUAAAGCGCGCGUAGGUGGUUUGUUAAGUUGAAUGUGAAAUCCCCGGGCUCAACCUGGGAACUGCAUGCAAAACUGGCAAGCUAGAGUAUGGUAGAGGGUGGUGGAAUUUCCUGUGUAGCGGUGAAAUGCGUAGAUAUAGGAAGGAACACCAGUGGCGAAGGCGACCACCUGGACUGAUACUGACACUGAGGUGCGAAAGCGUGGGGAGCAAACGAUGAUAAC
rnacentral:rRNA from 1 species